rnacentral:rRNA from 1 species
AUUGAACGCUGGCGGCAUGCCUUACACAUGCAAGUCGAACGGCAGCGGACCUUCGGGUGCCGGCGAGUGGCGAACGGGUGAGUAAUAUAUCGGAACGUACCUUUCAGUGGGGGAUAACGUAGCGAAAGUUACGCUAAUACCGCAUAUUCUGUGAGCAGGAAAGCAGGGGAUCGCAAGACCUUGCGCUGAUUGAGCGGCCGAUAUCAGAUUAGCUAGUUGGUGAGGUAAAGGCUCACCAAAGGCGACGAUCUGUAGCGGGUCUGAGAGGAUGAUCCGCCACACUGGAACUGAGACACGGUCCAGACUCCUACGGGAGGCAGCCAGUGGGGAAUUUUGGACAAUGGGCGCAAGCCUGAUCCAGCCAUGCCGCGUGAGUGAAGAAGGCCUCGG